AUGCGGCGCCAACGGAAGCGUAGGGCCAAGGUACAGGCCCCGCCCAAUCCGGUCACAUUUCCGGAAUUCUCGCCGCUCCCCUUAGCUCCGCCCCCAGUCGCUUUCCAGCUUGCGCGUGAGCUGCCGCACCUGGCCCUGUUGGAUGAAUUUAAGCAACAAGGACUCCAACAAGGACACACUCCCUGUGGCACUGCCAUAUUUUUGGGAGCACUUUGAUGAGGAUGGCUAGUCCCUGUGAUACUCAGAGUAUCGCUGCCCUGAUGAACUCACUCAGUCAGAUCUUCAUGAGCUGCAAUCUCAUCACUGGAAUGUUCCAGCGACUGGACAAGCUGAGGAAGAAUGCCUUCACCAGUUUCAUCCCCUUUGGAACCAACAAUAGCAGCUCCGUUUCUAGAGUCUGGGUCUUCCGAGGCCAGGAGCUUGCCUUUCCUCUGAGUGCAAAUUGGCAGGUGGACUAUGAAUCAUACACACGGAGGAAACUGGAUCCUGGCAGCGAGGAGACACUUGGAAUCCAAAUAUAUUCAUAGGGAAAGUUCGAGAGUACUUUUCCUGGGAGGGGACCUUCCAGCAUGUUGGCCAAGACUUCAAUCAGGGCACGAUCUUCAAGUGA